AUGGUAAUCAAGGAGUGGGACCUGUGGGCCCCUGUGGCAAAUACAUGAGGGUCAUAUCACCAGCAACAUGCAGCUUUCUGCCUACUUAGACCCUGCCCUGGAACUGGGCCCCUGCAAUAUACUGCUGUUCCUACAGGACAAAAUAAGCAUUGAGGAUUUCACAGCAUAUGGUGGUAUGUUUGAAAUAAGAAUAACUGUACCUUUUCUAACCUGAAGAGUGCCCUGGACCUGGUCCCUUCUUCACUGGUGCUUCCUGCUGUGGACUGGUAUGCAAUCAGCACUCUAACCACCUACCUACAAGAAAAGCUUGGGACUAGUCCCUUGCAUAUAGAUCUAGCUACCCUAAAGGAGAUGAAGUUCAAUGUCAUCCUUCCUGACCUGCUGCUCAUCUGUCUAUCUACACAGCCAGCUCCAGACUGAAGGUGCCCAGAGAGGUCAUCACAGGUAAAGAUGAGGCCAUCGGACAUGUACUGAGCACACUGAAGUCUGAAGAUGUCCCUUACAUGUAGUUCUUACUUCAGUCUGCCCUUCUAGAGUGGCCCAUGGUAUAGCCAUGGUGGCUGGGGGUCUAGGUCACCAGCUGCUUCAGACUCAGGUGGCAUCACUUGUGAUCCAUCCUCCUGUAAGUUACAAUGACAUUGCCCCAAGGAUCCUUCUUUGGUGUUGAGAAUGUUGACUUGACCAGCUCCAUCUGUAAUGACUCCUUUACCACGCUUUCACUGAUCUAUGAGCCACUCUUUGGUGCAACAGUGACAUUCCAGUUCAUUCUGGCUAGUCGCUUCUACCCAGUAUCUGGCCGAUAUUGGUUUACCAUGGAAUGGCUUGAAUUCCAUAGCAAUGGCUCUGUUGCUCAUUUCAAUGUUUACCAAGUCACAGGACCUAGGAUCUAUUCUUUCCACUAUGAGUAUGUUAGCAGUCUGAGCAAGAAAGGCAAUCUCUUAGUGACCAAUGUGCCCUCACUCUGGCAGAUGACUUGUCAUAACUUCCAGAUCCAGGCCCUCAAUGUGACUGGUGAACAGUUCUUCUAUGCUAGCAACUGUUUUAGCUUCUCUCCCAGCAUCUUUAUGAGCUGCUCACCACCCUCUUCAUGAUUCUCAUAUUCACCUAUGGUCUGCACAUGAUACCCAACCUAAAGACCAUGGAUGCUUUGAUAACCACAAGGGUUCCACCAUCACUUUGACACAGAUAGUGACAUAUACCAGAAAGGGAUCGAGGGAGUAUUUUGAUAGCCUAGCAGGGACCAGGUGCCAUUACUUCAACAUUGUUAACCCCACCUCAGAGGAUUCCCAGUAUACUGGACUGUUCCUGUCUUACAUUGUCCUGUUUUCUGGGAUCUUACCUGUCAUUGACUACCAGUCUCAAAGAGAUAUCACUUCAGAGGUAUGUCACACAAGGGAGAGAUUAGGAACAUCAUACAUGGUGGUGUCAUGGAUCUCUGUCAUUCUUGCUUUGAUCACUCCCUUAAGGGGUCACAAUUGGGAUUUUCAAGAGUCAUCAGCACCUGGAGGGUCACCUUAUUUAUGGAAAGGUGCCUGUAGAUAUGCUGUUCAAGACACUUAA